rnacentral:SRP_RNA from 1 species
CGCUGGUUCCCUCGCAACAAUAUGCCGUGAACCCGGUCAGGCCUGGAAGGGAGCAGCCGAAGCAGCAGAUUUGUGUGCCGAGGUGUCGCUGGCGGCG